rnacentral:rRNA from 1 species
UUUUUAAAUUGCUGUGGUAUUGUGACUAUACAAAGGUAUUGUAAUAAGGCUUUAAAUGGGCGCUAAGAGAAUGGUUUAACAAGGAUUGACUUUCUUAUUUUCUAUAAUGGAAUUUAAUUUAAAAAUGAAAAAGUUUUUAUAAAAUUUUGGGACAAGAAGACCCUGUGAAUUUUUCAGUAAUGAGGUUGUGAAUUAGUUAUAAUAAUUAAUAAGUUUUAUUAAUGUUGAUUGGGGUGAUUUUUAAAGAUUAUUAAUCUUUAAAAAGAUUAUAAAAUAGAACCAUUAUUAAUGGAUGUUUGUAAAAAUACUCCAGGGAUAACAGCGUAAUAACUUUGGAUAGAUCCUAUAGAUAAAGUGGUUUGCGACCUCGAUGUUGGAUUAAGAUUCUUUUAAGAUGAAGAAGUCUUGAAAAGAAGUUUGCUCAACUUUUAAAAUCUUACUUGAUCUGAGUUC